rnacentral:lncRNA from 1 species
GUUGAAGUUAGUAACAUUGUGGCUGUGAACUAAUUGUCUCAAUAUUAGGCUAUAUUGAGUAGGAAAGGUACACUAUGAAAACUGCCCGUUCAUCAUGACGUAAUAUUAAAUUGCACAAUUACGUGUGCAAGUUCAACGUUGCUAGAAACUUAAAUUGGUUUGUUCCUAAGCUUCUGUAAUUAAAUUGCACAAUUACAUGUGCAAGUUCAACUUAAAUUGGUUUGUUCCUAAGCUUCUGUGGUAUUUGGCUUUGCAGCCUUGGGAAUUUUUAAACUUUGAUUUUAUGUAAAGGGAUAUCUUGGGUGAAAUGCAGUCCAGAUUUAAAUAACUGAAGCUUUUUGGAAUGGAGGGGCAGUGGAGAAAUGACGUGGUCAAUGAACAGGGCGCUAUAGUUGAUUGUUCUGGUGACAUCUGUGAUGGACUGUGGAUCAAUGGCUGCCCUGCUGGUACGUACGUUCAUUAUGCUCUCCAGUUAUUAACAAGUCUUUGACAUAAUACUUUGGUUGUCCCUCUUUUGAUUAAUAUGAUCUGACUAUAGUGU